UGGGGAAUAUUGCGCAAUGGGGGAAACCCUGACGCAGCGACGCCGCGUGAGCGAAGAAGGCCUUCGGGUCGUAAAGCUCUGUUCUAAGGGACGAAGGCAGUGACGGUACCUUAGGAGAAAGCCCCGGCUAACUACGUGCCAGCAGCCGCGGUAAUACGUAGGGGGCAGGCGUUGUCCGGAAUUACUGGGCGUAAAGCGCGUGUAGGCGGAUGGUUAAGUCCGAUGUGAAAGACCGGGGCCCAACCCCGGGGUUGCAUCGGAAACUGGCAAUCUUGAGGGCAGGAGAGGGAAGUGGAAUUCCUGGUGUAGCGGUGAAAUGCGUAGAUAUCAGGAGGAACACCAGUGGCGAAGGCGGCUUCCUGGACUGACCCUGACGCUGAGACGCGAAAGCGUGGGUAGCAAACAGG
rnacentral:rRNA from 1 species